rnacentral:rRNA from 1 species
UACGGGGGGGGCAAGCGUUGUUCGGAAUUACUGGGCGUAAAGGGCGCGUAGGCGGCCUGCUAAGUCGGAUGUGAAAUCCCUCGGCUCAACCGAGGAACUGCAUCCGAUACUGGCGGGCUUGAAUCCGGGAGAGGGAUGUGGAAUUCCAGGUGUAGCGGUGAAAUGCGUAGAUAUCUGGAGGAACACCGGUGGCGAAGGCGGCAUCCUGGACCAAUACUGACGCUGAGGAGCGAAAGCCAGGGGAGCAAAGCGGG